UAACAAUGAUACCCUUAGUAGCGGCGAGCGAAGUGGGUAAAGCUCAAGUUUAAAACCUGUUUGUCAUAGACAAACCGGAUUGUAAACUAUGGACAUGUUAUCCAGGCUCUUUGGACCUUCAAGUCCUUUGGAAUAAGGCUUCACAGAGGGUGACAAUCCCGUAGAGGGUCUUGAACAGAGUCUAUUGCGAUGCAUGCUCCAAGAGUCAGGUUGUUUGGGAAUGCAGCCUAAAGUGGGAGGUAAAUCCCUCCUAAAGCUAAAUAUUGGCGAGAAACCGAUAGCAAACAAGUACCGUGAGGGAAAGUUGAAAAGGACUUUGAAAAGAGAGUCAAAAGUACGUGAAAUUGCUUAAAGGGAAGCGUUUGGAGCUAGUUUGGCUAGUCUGUUAUCAGCCUGAGCUUCGGCUUUGGUGUACUAUCAGGCUAUUUUUGCCGGCCAACUCUCAGGAUUGAAAGGAAAGCUUGGUGCUUUGGAGUCUAAAGAGACCCUCGCGGAAGCCUCUGGUGGAGCGUGGUCUGCCCUUGGCCCUUUUGAGCCUAUAGUUGGCUUAAUGGCU
rnacentral:rRNA from 1 species